rnacentral:rRNA from 1 species
GUUAACGCUGGCGGCGUGCCUAACACAUGCAAGUCGAACGGUUCUAAGCGCGAGCUUAGGAUAGUGGCGAACGGGUGAGUAAAAGGUAGGAAUCUACCCCUUAGACGGAGAUAGCUACUGGAAACGGUAGGUAAACUUCGAUAAGCCCGAGAGGGGAAAGUGGUGAGACAGCCGAGGGAUGAGCCUACUCUCCAUCAGGUAGUUGGUGAGAUAAAAGCUUACCAAGCCGAUGACGGAUAACCGGUGUGAGAGCAUGAACGGUCACAAGGGCACUGAGAGACGGGCCCUACUCCUACGGGAGGCAGCAGUGGGGAAUCUUGGACAAUGGGCGAAAGCCUGAUCCAGCGACGCCGCGUGGAGGAAGAAGUCCUUCGGGAUGUAAACUUCUGAACUAGCCGAAUAAAAGGCCUGUGGACACACAGGAGAAGAAAGUAGGCUAGGAAAAGUCCCGGCUAACUACGUG